rnacentral:lncRNA from 1 species
ACCUUUUGAAUUGAAGAGGCAAGAAAACUACAUACUACAUUUCUGAUACCCUUUUUUGCAGAAAGGAUACUUGAUACUUCAUUUAAAGCUGAGAGUUGUGUCUGUAUCUUCAAGACUUAGAUUCAGAGCUGAGUUACUUGGCUAUAUGAGGAAGCCUCUUUGCUGAUACAGAUCAUGUAGUGAUGGUGUGCGAAGUCCUAGACAGCAGCAAUUUGAUUCAACAACAUUCUGACAGUGGUGAGAGGCAGAAGCUCUCUUCUCUACACAACUCUAUGGGCUUACAUAUCUGAAAUUCAGUUGAAUUCAGACAAAAUUCAAGUGAUAUAGUGAAACGGAGUUUGUGAUGUCAACUUGCCUAAG